GGACUUUCGGAUAAUGGAAGGUUUCUAGAGUCGCCGUAAUGAUUAAUAGGGAUAGUUGGGGGCAUUAGUAUUCAGUUGCUAGAGGUGAAAUUCUUGGAUUUACUGAAGACUAACUACUGCGAAAGCAUUUGCCAAGGAUGUUUUCAUUAAUCAAGAACGAAGGUUAGGGGAUCGAAAACGAUCAGAUACCGUUGUAGUCUUAACAGUAAACUAUGCCGACUAGGGAUCGGGCGACCUCAAUUUGAUGUGUCGCUCGGCACCUUACGAGAAAUCAAAGUCUUUGGGUUCGGGGGGGAGUAUGGUCGCAAGGCUGAAACUUAAAGGAAUUGACGGAAGGGCACCACCAGGAGUGGAGCCUGCGGCUUAAUUUGACUCAACACGGGGAAACUCACCAGGUCCAGACAUAACUAGGAUUGACAGAUUGAUAGCUCUUUCUUGAUUUUAUGGGUGGUGGUGCAUGGCCGUUCUUAGUUGGUGGAGUGAUUUGUCUGGUUAAUUCCGAUAACGAACGAGACCUUCCCGUGCUAAAUAGCCCGGCCGGCUUUGGCUGGUCGCCGGCUUCUUAGACGGACUAUCGGCGUUUAGCCGAUGGAAGUUGGAGGCAAUAACAGGUCUGUGAUGCCCUUAUAUGUUCUGGGCCGCACGCGCGCUACACUGACAGGGCCAGCGAGUCUAUCACCUUGGCCGGAAGGUCUGGGUAAUCUUGUGAAACCCUGUCGUGCUCGGGAUGCACGCUUUAAAAUAAAAA
rnacentral:rRNA from 1 species